rnacentral:rRNA from 1 species
UACGUAGGGUGCAAGCGUUAUCCGGAAUUAUUGGGCGUAAAGAGCUCGUAGGCGGUUUGUCACGUCUGCUGUGAAAACUGGAGGCUCAACCUCCAGCCUGCAGUGGGUACGGGCAGGCUAGAGUGCGGUAGGGGAGAUUGGAAUUCCUGGUGUAGCGGUGGAAUGCGCAGAUAUCGGGAAGAACACCCGUGGCGAAGGCGGCUCUCUGGGACGGUACUGACGCUGAGACGCGAAAGCGUGGGGAGCGAACAGG